GAUGAACGCUAGCGGGAGGCUUAACACAUGCAAGUCGAGGGGCAGCAUAAUGUAGCAAUACGUUGAUGGCGACCGGCGCACGGGUGAGUAACGCGUAUGCAACCUACCCUGUACAGGGGAUAGCCCGGAGAAAUUCGGAUUAAUACCCCAUAAAGAUAUUUAGUGGCAUCAUUGGAUAUUUAAAGUUUCGGCGGUACGGGAGGGGCAUGCGUAACAUUAGCUAGUUGGUAGGGUAACGGCCUACCAAGGCGACGAUGUUUAGGGGUCCUGAGAGGGUGAUCCCCCACACUGGUACUGAGACACGGACCAGACUCCUACGGGAGGCAGCAGUGAGGAAUAUUGGUCAAUGGGCGACAGCCUGAACCAGCCAUCCCGCGUGAAGGAAGACCGCCCUAUGGGUUGUAAACUUCUUUUCCAGGGGAAUAAAAUGUUGCACGAGUGCGACACUGAAGGUAUCCUGGGAAUAAGCAUCGGCUAACUCCGUGCCAGCAGCCGCGGUAAUAC
rnacentral:rRNA from 1 species